GAUAGUCCAUGGUAUCUUAGUCCGUGGUGUUUACAUAAUAUUAUAUUUUUCUAUUCUAUACGUCAUGGUUGUUGAUGUUUUUAAUUUAUACGAUGACCAUGAUAUUAUAAUCAUAAUAACUGAUAUUGAAUAUUAUUGAUAUUAUAUUAUUAUAACUAUAGUUAUAAAGUUAUUUUGUUCUGUGUUAUUAGUUAUAUAAUAUAAUAACAAUAUUUACUAAUUAUAGCGUUAAUCUAACUUCUAAGACUUAAUUUUUUUAUUAUUCUUUCUCUCUUACCUCUCGUAUAUUCUUUAUUAGUAAAUAAUUUAAAUCUAAUACAUUUCAUAUGGAGAAGACAUCAGAUACAAUAAUCAAGGAAUUAUUUAACUCUUUGGAGCAGAAAGUGCCUUAUGUUCCGGAAUCAGAUGUUAUGUCUACUAAGUCGAUGGUAGAUUCCAUUAAGAAACACAAGCGACAUGAUAAAUCAAAAAAACAUAAAAAACACAAGAAGAAAUCGAAGAAAUCCAAAAAAAAAAAACGUCAUGCAAGGUCCAAUUCACUAGACGAUUGCAUAGUGUUGAAACUCAAGAAGGAUAAGCUAGAAGAAGCUAAAUCUGGUAUGUCAGUAUCCUUAGAUGUAAUCAUGGAAACAAUUGUGAAUACUGCUAAUGAAAAAAGUGAGGAGGUCAAAGACGUUAAACAUGAUGAAAAUGAGAACUGUCAUCUAGAUACGACUUUAAUGGAUAAAAAUAAAGUAAACACACCAGAAAAUGAUUUAAACCAAACAAAACUUAAUACCACAGGACUAAAUAAUGGAAAAAUCAUCAUUAAAGAUUUAAAAGAGAGUCGUUUAUACCAUGAAUUAGUUAAUGAAGUCCAAGAAAAAGAACGACUAAAAACGGAAAAAUGUAAAAUUAGUGAUCAAAGUAAUUCAUUACAUGAUUUAGAAAACAGGAAAAAAAAAAAAAAAGAAAAACAUAAAUCAAAAAAAAAAAAACGAUCGCGAAGUAGAAAUAGAUCACGUACUCCAAAACGACUUAAGAAGUUUAGUCGGUCUCGUUCAAAUAGUAGCAAAGAUAGGUAUUCAAGACAUAAUGAUUUCAAAAGUUCUAAUUCAAAGAACCAAAGUGACUCAAAUACUAAGUGUAAAAAGAAUGAUAGUGAUAUUAAAUUAAAAGAAAAAAGCAACCAUCAUAAAAGAUCUAUAACACCAGAUAAAAACUUAAAAUUAAUUAGACGUUCAAGAUCGAGAGAUAAUAAAAAGCCAAAGAGAUCAGAAGAUUAUAGAACAAGAAAACAAUCAAGACCCAGAGAAACGUCUAGGUCUAGACAUAGAUCUCCUUCAUGUGAAAAAAUUGAUAAAAAGAAACUAUUUAAAAUUGCUCGUAAAAAUGCCUUGUCACUAGUGCAACAAGGUGUAUUACCAGUGGGAAGUGUCAAAAAAGAUAAUUUAGCCAAUGUACCCACUAAAACUGUAGAUGAACUAACAGAUUUUUGUCGAAAACUUUCAAAAAAGGAUAAGGAUCAUAAUGACGAUUCUUCAUAUUCUUCCGAUGAUGACGAGUUCAAACAACCUUUCCACCAUCCAUUUUUGGUCAAGGAAAGACCUAAUAUAGUCAUGAAUAUUAGAAACGCAACUCAAUUACCUAUUAAAUCCUUUCAAGAAAAAACUAUCGGACAAGAUAUAUUAAGACAACAGUUUCCUGUAUCUAGUGGCCAAACUCAUAGUUUAGCUCUUACUGAAUGGGUGCCCAUUGGUCCUGAGGAAUCUGCAAAAUUAAAUAAAAUACUUAAACCUGAUGAAGGAAACAAACUUAUUAAUAAAUCACAUCAUAGCCAUCAGGCUCCAAAAGUUGCUGCUGUGGAACCUGUUAUUCAGCCUGUUUCAAGUCCAAACAAUGCUAUAGUACCUAUGGAUUAUCAGUAUGUGUCACCUGCUGUUGAAACUCCUGCAUUCACACCUUAUACACAUAGCAGUUAUUCAUUGUUGUCGUUCGAAACUGGACAGUUCACUGGCCAUACUGGUGCUAAAGUACUAACUCCUGCAGAACUAUCUGCUGGAUUUCAAACCUGGGUGAAAAAGGUAAAAUGUAUAGGAACUUUAUAUUCCAAUUUAUUUUUAUUUUUUUUAAUAUAUAGUGGGUAUAACACAUUUUUGCACUAUAUAUUAUUUUCUUCAAAUUCGAUGUUGACAAUUUUCAUUGGGCUUUCAAUCACUUGGAAAUGCUACCUUAACUCUUAAGGUAGUAUAAAGGAUAAAACUAGAAUGAUAGUUGAAAAAAAUCAAGAAACAUUUGUGUUUAGCUUAAAAAAUUACAUUACAUUUUGAUAAUUUAUUAGAUACAGUAUGUUUAUGUUGGUUAUUGAGUAUCUACUCAAUUCAGACAGAACACAUUUAAUGACAUGUUUAGUUAUUUAAUUUAUAAGAAAUAGUCUUGAUGUAAUAUUUCAAUUAUACAAUUGAAUUAUUCUAAAUGAAAGUUUUACACAUUUUAUAUCAAGACAUUUUCUUUUGAACCGUGUUUAUUUAGCAAUUGCUACAUUGCUAAAUAAACAUGCAUAUUAAGUGCAUGAAAGCCAAAUGGAAAUCUGUUACAGGCAGUAUUACUUGUGUUUAACAUAUUUAAGCGCUAUAUCAACAACACCACAAUCGAACGACGGUUCGUCUGCUGAACAUUCAUGGGAUAUCUGAUGCAGCCCCUUGGACCAGUUAAAAAAUUCUGCUCCUGUAAACAGUGGCAUUGGGA